GGUCAGGACGAACGCUGGCGGCGUGCUUAACACAUGCAAGUCGAGCGAUGAAGCUCUUCGGAAGUGGAUAGCGGCGGACGGGUGAGUAACACGUGGGUAACCUGCCUCAUAGAGGGGAAUAGCCUUCCGAAAGGAAGAUUAAUACCGCAUAAGAUUGUAAUAUCGCAUGAUAUAGCAAUUAAAGGAGUAAUCCGCUAUGAGAUGGACCCGCGUCGCAUUAGCUAGUUGGUGAGGUAACGGCUCACCAAGGCGACGAUGCGUAGCCGACCUGAGAGGGUGAUCGGCCACAUUGGGACUGAGACACGGCCCAGACUCCUACGGGAGGCAGCAGUGGGGAAUAUUGCACAAUGGGGGGAAACCCUGAUGCAGCAAAACCGCCGCGUGAGUGAUGACGGUCUUCGGAUUGUAAAGCUCUGUCUUCAGGGACGAUAAUGACGGUACCUGAGGAGGAAGCCACGGCUAACUACGUGCCAGCAGCAGC
rnacentral:rRNA from 1 species